rnacentral:rRNA from 1 species
UACGAAGGGGGCUAGCGUUGCUCGGAAUUACUGGGCGUAAAGGGCGCGUAGGCGGCACAGCAAGUCGGGAGUGAAAGCCCGGGGCUCAACCCCGGAACUGCUUUCGAAACUGCUGAGCUAGAGUACAGAAGGGGCAACCGGAAUUCCCAGUGUAGCGGUGAAAUGCGUAGAUAUUGGGAAGAACACCUGAGGCGAAGGCGGGUUGCUGGGCUGAUACUGACGCUGAGGCGCGAAAGCCAGGGGAGCAAACGGG